UUUAUUUGCUCAAGGAUCACCAGAGAAGUGGUUGAAAAGCACCUAAAGGUUUUAUUUGGAAUUUGAUUUAUGUUGAUGUUCAAGAAUUCAUCCUUUUAUCAGAAGAAGGAAAGCCUUAAAAUACUGAUUUGCAAAUAACACAGGCAAAAGCUUUCUUGUGGUAUUUACAAAAAAUUUUGGUCAGGGCAAAAAUUCCAGGGAAGAUGACUUCCCCUUGUAAUUGUAACACUUCUCUGCUAAAUUUGGGAACUAAAAGCAAAAGAAACAUUUUUUUUAGUUUUUCAUUCAAAAUGAUCCAAAGCUAAGUAAGUUGACUUUCUAUUCACUAUAGAGGAAAGUGCUAUUAAGGUCUAGAGUUCACCUCAACCAUAACUUGUGUGACAGCUGCAAGUUCGUUUCUAGGAUUCCACCUCAAGUAAAUACUUGCUCUUUGUAUGAAUUUUCUGUAGAGAUGAUGGAGUCAAAAUGACUGCUUUGGUUGGAGAUGGAUUUUUCUAUGAAGUCUGUAGAAGCUUGUUACCAUGUUAAAUGCCCAGCUUUCAUUAAAUCCACACCUGAAGGAUGAAGAAAAGUAUUUCUAGCAGUGGCAAAAAUAUUGGCAUUGUCCAGUGCCCAGAAACCAUGUCACUGCAAGUGGUAAAUGAAAUUUAGCCAUGUGGUGUGAUCUCCAACUCCCUGAGUCACUCACCAAAGUUUGUUGUCCUUCUAGUCAUGUGAAUUUUCAGCUCAUCCAACACUUUUCUGAGGUACCUGGUACUUGCAUCUUUUGCUUCAGCAUCCUAGAAAUUCAACGAUCUUUUUGACGUCUACAUUAUGGGAGUUAUUGCACCCAGAUAAACCACAAUUCUAAAUAAUC